rnacentral:rRNA from 1 species
AGAGUUUGAUCCUGGCUCAGGACGAACGCUGGCGGCGUGGAUAAGGCAUGCAAGUCGAACGCGAACAGAACAACUAAUUCGUUAGUAGUUCUUAGUAGAGUGGCGAACGGGUGAGUAACACGUGGAUAACAUACCUUUCAGUGGGGAAUAACAUCGGGAAACUGAUGCUAAUACCGCAGAUGUCAAAACUUUGAUUUUGAUUUGACUAAAGGGGGGGCUCCUUAGGGACCUCUCGCUGAUUGAUUGGUCCGCGUCCCAUUAGCUUGUUGGUGGGGUAAUGGCCUACCAAGGCAACGAUGGGUAGCCGGCCUGAGAGGGUGUCCGGCCACACUGGGACUGAGAUACGGCCCAGACUCCUUCGGGAGGCAGCAGUCGAGAAUCUUCCACAAUGUACGAAAGUAUGAUGGAGCGACGCCGCGUGUGUGAUGAAGGCUUUAUGAGUUGUAAAGCACUGUCAGAGGGGAAGAACAAGCGUAUAAAUAAUAAGUGUACGCUCUGACGUACCCUCAGAGGAAGCUCCGGCUAACUCCGUGCCAGCAGCCGCGGUAAUACGGAGGGAGCAAGCGUUGUCCGGAAUCAUUGGGCGUAAAGGGCACGUAGGCGGUUCGGUAAGUCGAAUGUGAAAUCUCAUGGCUUAACUGUGAAACUGCGUUCGAAACUACCGAACUUGAGUACUGGAGAGGUAUGCGGAAUUCCUGGUGUAGCGGUGGAAUGCGUGGAUAUCAGGAAGAACACCAGUGGCAAAGGCGGCAUACUGGCCAAGUACUGACGCUGAGGUGCGAAAGCGUGGGGAGCAAACGGGAUUAGAUACCCCGGUAGUCCACGCUGUAAACGAUGGGUACUAGGUUUUGGGGGUCUCAACCCCCUCAGAGCCGCAGCUAACGCAUUA